AUAUGUGUUUUACCACACAAGCCUAGCGUAACCACGCGACGGGUCAUUAAAUCAUUUGUGGUCUGAUUGGGCUAAUCAGUUUUCCUUCUGUUGGAUAACUGUGGUAAUUCCAGAGCUAAUACAUGCGACUAUAUAUCCCUAGCCUAGCGAUAGGCGACGGAUGCUUUUAUUAGACCGAGGUGAACACGGCCUUGCAAUCAGUCUGCGGGUGUGCGUUCGCGCGUGUGCUCGUAGAUUCUGCUUGGUUCGCGAUGCUAAAGGUGACUCUGGAUAACACCAUGUUAAGCGCACGCACCACUAUCGAAGUGGGCUGGCGCUGCCACUUUCGAGUGACUGCCUUAUCAGCUUUAACGUUUGUUACGCGCAAACGCUGGCUGUGACGGGUAACGGGGAAUCAGGGCUCGAUUCCGGAGAGGCAGCCUGAGAGACGGCUACCACGUCCAAGGACGGCAGCAGGCACGUAAAUUACCCAAUCCCAGCACCUGGGGGAGGUAGUGACGAAACAUACCGAUGCGGGCGCGUCUUCGGACCGCCCGCAAUCAGAAUGGCUAUUUCCUAAACACCCUAACGAGAACCUACUAGAGGGCAAGUCUGGUGCCAGCAGCCGCGGUAAUUCCAGCUCUAGUGGCGUACACUAAAUUUGUUGAGGUUAAAAGGCUCGCAGUUGAAUGUCUGUUAAAGAGCGCAGAUGGGUCUAGACGUUGGGCUCCGUUGGAUGCCUUGGUUUCUUUAACGAGUCUCCUCGCGCUUUCUGGCGGUUGUUCCCGUCUUAUCAGUUACCCUCUCGCUCGAUGACAUACGGGCGUUUUCUCGGGUAUUUGCGAUGCGAGAUUCGUUGAGCGUGUGCGCCUCGCACUCACGUGUGUGGUCUGUGCGCGAGUUCGCGUUCUCGUUUAUUCCUUAUAUCAUUUGAGAUUGCGUUCGUGUCACCUUGAGUAAAUCAGAGUGCUUAAUGCAGUCGCAACGAAGGGUACCCGAGUGAUCGGAAACCCGAGGCUUGGGAGACACGCGACAGUGCGAGCUUAACGGUGAGUGCUUAGCUGUUUCCCUGUGACGGUCUUUGCUUUGCAUGGUACGUCGGAAGACGCCGCUUCUACUCGUUGGUCUAUCGCGAACGUUCGCCGCAAGGUGAUCGGACGUAUCACGCCAGCGAGUGCGGAAUGAUGUGACAGGAACGGUCGAGGGCAUUAGUAUUGCGAGGCGAGAGGUGAAAUUCUAUGACCCCCGCAAGACUAUCUGAAGCGAAGGCGUCUGCCAAGGACGUUUUCAUUAAUCAUGAACGAAAGUUAGAGGAUCGAAGGCGAUCAGAUACCGCCCUAGUUUUAACCGUAAACGAUAUUAACCAUCGAUCCGCGUGAGCACCCUCGUUGCGAGUGCGUGUCUAGCUUAAUAAGCGGCGUAUUCGUAGCAGUGUGGGCUCGGCGGGCAGCGCUCCCGGGAGGAAACUUUUAAGUUAGAUUCCUGGGGGAGUCUGGUUGCAAAGCUGAAACUUAAAGGAAUUGACGGAAAGGCACCACCAGGCGUGGAGCUUGCGGCUCAAUUUGACUCAACACGGGCAAACUUACCAGGCCAGCACGGUCGUACGAUUGACAGAUUGAAAGCUCUUUCUCGAUUGAGUGGAUGGUGGUGCAUGGCCGUUCUUAGUUGGUGGAGUGAUCUGUCUGGUUAAUUCCGAUAACGAACGAGACUCUCCCCUGCUAACCGGCGCUUAUAAACGCAGUAGACGGCGUGAUUCCAUGGUAAGAAGCUCUCGCGUAGUAUUAGCAACUCGUUUGCGAGGCUCGCGGGAUGUCUUCGGACGAGUCCGCUGAUCUCCUUGGCUCCGCUUUAGCACAGUUGAGGCGGUCCGUUCGUACUUGGUGGUGUGUUGUGCGCGCGCGCGUAUGCACUUAUGUGUGUGCGUGUGUGUGUGUGGCAUUGCGUGCCGGUGCGUUCGGUUUCUCGCCUUAGCGUUGUUGCRACUAGCGUCCUUGGAGAGCGUAUCUUCUUAGAGGUAUUGACSACUCUUCUAAGUCGWAAGAAACAGAGAGCAAUAACAGGUCUGUGAUGCCCUUAUAUGUUCUGGGCCGCACGCGAGCUACAAUGCCGGGUACAGCGGKUUCUUAUUCCUAUGCCGAGAGGUACGGGUAACCCUGUGAAAACCUAGUWCAGAUGAGUACUCGWAAGAGUGCUUGUCGCGUGGCUCGCUUGGGCCUGGGGCUUGCAAUUCUUUCCCACCAACGAGGAAUGCCUAKKAGUGGCGGAUCACUGAGCCCGCAGCGACUCASUCCCUG
rnacentral:rRNA from 1 species